rnacentral:rRNA from 1 species
UACGGAGGGAGCUAGCGUUGUUCGGAAUUAUUGGGCGUAAAGGGCUCGUAGGCGGUUUGUCGCGUCUGCCGUGAAAGUCCGGGGCUCAACUCCGGAUCUGCGGUGGGUACGGGCAGACUAGAGUGAUGUAGGGGAGACUGGAAUUCCUGGUGUAGCGGUGAAAUGCGCAGAUAUCAGGAGGAACACCGGUGGCGAAGGCGGGUCUCUGGGCCGAUACUGACGCUGAGGAGCGAAAGCGUGGGGAGCGAACAGG